CAUUAUUAUUUAAGUAAUUUGGGUUGGUAUAACCACGUGUCAACUACGUCAAUAACAGUUAUUAAGUUUAGAAUCUAUCUAUUUAUAAUGGCAAAUUCUAAGGAGCCACCCCAAAAUAGGAGGCAGUGAUGCCACUGCUACGCGGCCCAAUAGAAAUCCGUUUAAGCGUGUGCCAUGAGUCAAACCAACAAGUUUUCUAAAAUUCCAAUUUCAGUCCCUAUAGUUUCAUGUAAUUAUCAUUAGGUAAUUAAGUAUUUACUGUAAAACAAUUAAAUUAUAACUGAAAAUCAAAUCAAAAACCCUAAUCCCUCCCCAUCUGUUGUGUUCAUUUCAAUCAUCACCUCCACCCUCCGCCGCUGUGCAUCCUUGAGCAACGCCACCCCUUCAGCUUUGAUUAUUUCCUACGCCCCAAUUCUACAACCUAACUGCUUUCACCCUCCCAAUCUCGCCUUCUUAUAUUCCCGAAUCCAACGCGCCCGCCGCUCCAAUCGCGAUGCCCUCGCCCUAUUCGCCGGUGGCGGGAUUCUCUGCCACGCCUAACAUCCGCAGCACCAUAAGGACCGAGUGCCACAACGGCACCGGGAAUACGGCGUACAGGUACGACAAACUCUGUGAUGUCGUUGAUGGCUCCAAUGGUGUUUGCGAGCAUGGCCCUAAAAGGUUCAUGAGACCCAUGUCGCAGGCGAGUUUCUGCUUGCAGACUAGGGGGCACUUCCACUCGGGGGUCAACGUAUGAGGCGAUCCUCGUUGUGUGUAUGCUGGUGUUCUUCGAGGGUCUUUCUGCUAAGUCUCAAUAAUCGUGGCAUUUGCCCGAGAACGAGUUUGGGGUUUCUCUGUUUCUCUGUUUCCCACCCCUUCCAUUAUGCCAGCUUUUUCUGGGACAAAGCAAAGUAUACAACUCCAGGUUUAUACUAUUAUUUUUCUUGAGUUUCUUUUUCAUGUUAUGUUUUUGUAUUGUUUUAGUUGUAGGUGUUCACUCCUUGCCACCAUAACAUGCUUGAUGAUGGGGUUGACAAUGUAUGCACCUUAAACUUCAUGUUAGUGUAAAUAAAUGAUAUUGUUGUUACUGAUGAGUUAGGUCUUUUUCUUGAAUUUCAAUUCUGCUUGUUUUUGGCCCCCAUGUGAUUCGGGUGAAGGCUUGUUUUUACAAUUGUUGAAUACCCUGUCUCAUUGCUUGCUUAAUGAAAGUUUAGAAGGAAUGAUUGCUGGCUUAAAAGACAAAUGUUUUGUUAUCCAAAUACUUGAGGUAUAAUAUGAGUAUUAGGGCAGGGAGAGGGAAAUGUUGCCUUAUGGAGGAGUGAAAACUUCUUUGCAUUUUCAGAACUUCGGAACUUGUGGAAGUGGUUCUGCAAGGGAGAAAUGGGUCAGUUUUCUGUUAUGGUUCCACUGGAGUUGGGAAAACUUACGCAAUGCUUGGUACAGUUUAGAGCACAGGGGUGAUGGUGUUGGCAAAUAAGGACCUUUUCAGUAAAAUCAGUCAGAGAAGUUGUGAUGGAAACCAUGUCGUUCAUCUGUCCUAUCUUGAGGUUUAUAAUGAAACUGUGAUAGAUUUGCUUUCACCUGGAAGACCUCUGGUUCUUAGAGAAGAUAAACAGGUGCACUGCCUUUGCAUUGCUUGCUUUAUUUAAUUUAGAUGAUAUGAUGGGGUUGUUGAUGCAUGCACCUUGGACUUUGCUUCAAUUUAUGUGUUUGCUUGAUGAUGGUAUGGUUGAUUAGAUUGAGGUUUGGUUAAUCUUGAGAACCGUUGAGUUAAAAUCAUGCUCACCUUUUGUGGUUAAAUAGAAAGGGGGAAAAUGAGAUUUGUGUCCUAUUUUACAUUGAUUGAAGUUUACUCCCUGAUAAAGAUGGAAGCAUCUUUGCCUUUAUGUUUUCACUUUCACUAUAUAUGUUUUUAGUUGUUUUGCUCAGUGUUGUCAAUAGCGGGCUAUAGCGCCGCUAUCGCGGCGGUACGUGGCGGAGCGGCGGAUGGGCGCGACGCCGGAGGCUGCAGCGGCGCGGAUUUCGCGUCGCGGUGGUAGCGGCCGCGAUCGCGGCGAAAAUCGCGCUUGGUGCAGCGCAAUAGCGGCGCGAUGGAGGAAAGGGAAAGUGAUGAUGGGCGAAAUCUCGUUUUUACCCCGACUUAGGUUUAAAAAUUGAGGGUAGAAUGGUCUUUCUCAUUUGGUUAAUCAAGCUUUUUAAAAAACUGAGGGCAGAAUGGUCGUUUCCCCUCGGUUAAUGAAGCUUACACACUGUUUCUUCUUCCUCUUCUGUUUCUUCAUUGUACAGAGUUCUCGACAUUCACUUCCUACCUCUGUUUCUUCUUCCUCUUGACGUUGCUUCUUCUACUUCACACCCACACCACCUCCGGCGAAUUUUCCGGCGACUUCAGGGUCUGAUUCUGGUUCAAGAAGUUUCUCAUCAUCAAUUGGGGGGACAACAACCAACUAUGCUAUUGUGGUGCUCCAUGUAAGGUUCGAGAUUGUAAAAUUGAAGGAACCCCGGGAGGAAGUUUUUGGGUUGUAGAAGACAUGGUGGGUCUUCCACACAUUGUGAUUUCCUUUUUUGGUGUGAUGACACAAGUCCAAGAUCAAUGAAGUUUCGCAUUGAUUUAUUGAAGAACAUAAAACAUUGAUUUAUUGAAGAACAUAAAACAGGUGAAGAAGUGGUAGCAAAAAAUGCACGUGUUGACCUUGGAGGGAAGCAAGUAAGAAUGAAAAUAUUUGUCUUGAGAAGAAGUUAAGAAUAGUCAUAGCUUGUCAACUAGUGCUUGUGGCAUACGUUUGGUUCAAUAUUUAUAAAUGAGUGGUUUGAUCGAGCUA